UACGUAGGGGGGCAAGCGUUGUCCGGAUUUACUGGGCGUAAAGAGCGUGUAGGCGGCCAAGCAGGUCCGUUGUGAAAACUGGAGGCUUAACCUCCAGACGUCGACGGAAACCGCGUGGCUAGAGUCCGGAAGAGGAGAGUGGAAAUUCCUGGUGUAGCGGUGAAAUGCGCAGAUAUCAGGAAGAACACCAAUGGCGAAGGCAGCUCUCUGGGACGGUACUGACGCUGAGACGCGAAAGCGUGGGGAGCGAACAGG
rnacentral:rRNA from 1 species